GAGAAGAAGUGGGAUGAUGACGGGCUGCCACAACCAUAGUCCCAUUUCCCCAUCUUUGCAGAUAGUUAAAAGCCUCAUGUAUUUUCCCUGAUGAAGGAGGAGUUACUUUCUGUCUACGGCCUGCCCUCUGGGGAAAUCACUUUUGCACUGCCAUCAAAGUAGUAAACUAUCCAGAUUGACAAGAAAGGAACAUAAUUUAUGAGCUAGGGAAAGUCAGCUCCUCAUAUAAAUAAGCAAUAAUACUCUGGAGGAUGCUGUCGAUGCUGGAGUCACUGCUUGCAGAACCUAAGCAAGUGAAUGCCUGGAUGAGGAUCCACCCAUGCACAGAUCUUCAGCCACAUGUCACUCCGGGCUUGUGCAAAAUCACAGACGUAACUGAUGGUCAGAGUUAGGAUUACAGUGAGGAUGGGACAAGGAGACAAUGAAACAAAAACAACAUGAUGCUGGAUUGGUGGGUGAAAGCCCUGUACCACAGCCCCAGGCCUGCCACCACCUUGUCCUGUCGUAUGCACUUGGGCAAAUCUUGUACCUUUUCCAAGACGCAGGAAUUGGGCCAGAUGGUGGGAAAGGUAUCUUCUGAGUCUGAGACCCUGUGAAGAUAAGAUUCAGGGUCCAGGGCCCCCGUCUUGGCACACUGAGGAUACAUACACUGAAAUUAGAAGGUGGCAGAGAGGAGAAUUCAUCGACAACACCCAUCCCCUUAGCCCUCAGGAAAUAUCUACAAAUGUACCACCACUAAAAGGCAACAAGCCUUUUAUAGAUUCACAGUGAUUUAUAACCUUCUAUUUGGCUGCAGAAGGGAAAAGAAGACCAGUUUUCACAUACCCUGGAGAAGAGCAAAAGGGAAAAUGAAGAACUAUCUGAGAAAUGCUCCUGAAAAUGCUGGAACAAAAGCGAAAUUAUGCAAAGACCCUGGUUAAUCUCCAUAUCAAUUCCAUGGUCCAAAAUUACACAGGUUCUGGAGAAAUAGAUUCCAACAAAAGCCAUGGUAUCCAGAUGAUCGUCCGCUGCCAAGUGCCCCAGUAUGAACGCACAGACGCUGGGUCUAGAGGGGGAGGGGAGUUUGAGAGGGUCCUCAUACCAGGGUUCUGAAAGCUUUCCCAGACUGAGUCAACCAUGUCACUCUUGUAAGUUAUGCAAGAAAAUAAAGUCUCAAGCUCAAGAGUCCUUCUUUUUAGC
rnacentral:lncRNA from 1 species